UUCUUUAAUAAUCUUUCACCUUAUACUCCAUUGAUUCACAAAUAAAGCAUUCGCUAUACAUUCUUGAAUUGGGACAAUUAGAAGAGAUAUAUCUCUUUUGCCCACAAACUUUCUCUUUAUCUCAUUUCCCUUUUAUCGUAUAGGUGAUAAAAGUUAUCUUUUGCCCUUUUCGUUAUCCUAACUAUCAUAAACGCUUCUACUGAGUCACUUAAUCCUCUAUACCCUAGCAAUAGGAUUGCCUUAAAGUCUUUGGCGUUCGACGUUCGAUUAUCUGGUUGAUCUUCCGCGGCUGGUUUUCGUUUUCGUCUCGGUGACAUAAUUGUAAAUUAUUCUUCAUUUUCUUACAUUUUAAGCCUCAUCGUAUACGUUCGACAUAUAACACAAAAUUUUCUACUCAAAUAAUCAUGUAUUCCAAAAUAUUAAAUUUUGAAUCUUGGUUUACUAUAUUAACCAAUAUUAAGAUAAAUGUCUGCUAUCUUUAUAACAACUUACUUCAUUAAUCCAACAUAGACUCAUAUUCAUAGCACUUAACAUACCAUAACACAUAUUGCUUUAAACAUCAGCUAUCCCUUUGUGACUACGAAAGUCAGGAUUUAAAAUCUUGACCAACAUAAAAGUUGAAAAUAGUUCAUUACUUAUCACACACAUUACAUAACACAACAUAACCCAUACUACCUAUUUACUAAGCCUUCUUUCUUGGACAGCUUUUCGCCUGAUGAUCUUUCUUUCCACAAACAAAACA
rnacentral:lncRNA from 1 species